rnacentral:tRNA from 4 species
GCCGUCGUAGCUCAGCGGUUAGAGCACCGAGCUGAUAACUCGGGGCCGGAGGUUCGAUUCCUCCCGUCGGCA